rnacentral:rRNA from 1 species
ACAAUUAAGAGUUUGAUCCUGGCUCUGAGUGAAUGCUAGCGGUGUGCCUUACACAUGCAAGUCGUACGUAAUUUUUAUUUCGUGGCGUAUCGGUGAGUAAUGUACAAAUUGUGUAUGUUAAGUUUAGCUAAUACUAAAUGCUUUAACUUACUCAAGUUAUUAAAGAUUUUUCGCUUAAUAGACAUUUUUGUAUAGGAUUAGGUAGUUGGUAAUGGCUUUAGCUUACCAAGCCUACGAUCCUUAGCUGGUCUUGGAGGAUUAUCAGCCACAGCGGGACGGUUACAUCCCGAACUUUUUGGCAGCAGUGAGGAAUAUUGGACAAUGGGCGAAAGCUUGAUCCAGCAAUGCCGCGUGGGUGAGGAAGGCUUAGAUUGUAAAAUCCUUUCGUCGAAGAUGAUAAUGACAGUAUUCGAAAAAGAAGCCCCGGCUAACUUCGUGCCAGCAGCCGCGGUAAAACGGAGGGGGCUAGUGUUACUCAACUUGACUGGGCGUAAAGGGCGUGAAGGUGGUAUAGUACGUUUUUUUGUAAAUACUCGAACAUAAUUCGAGGAACAUUAAAAUACGAUUAUGCUAGAGUUUAUUUGAAGAAAGUUGUACCUCUAGUGUAGAGGUGAAAUUUGCAAAAAUUAGAGGGACAGUCUACGGGCGAAAGCGACUUUCUAGAAUAAACUGACACUAUAGCGCAAAAGCAUAGGUAGCAAACGGGAUUAGAGACCCCGGUAGUCUAUGCAGUGACCGAUGAAUACUAAAUGCUCUUGACCGUAAGAGAGUAUUUAAGCUAACGCGCAAGUAUUCCGCCUGGGAACUACAACCGCAAGGUUCAAACUUAAAGGAAUUGACGGAGGGCUAUUUCAGCGGUGGAGCAUGUGGUUUAAUCCGAUAUACCGCGUAAAACCUUACCAGCUCUUGAUAAGCAGACUUAUUCUUUCUUAAUAGGGGGAAAAUUCAUUUUUUUGAGUGUUAGUCUGCACAGGUGUUGCAUGGCUGUCGUCAGCUCGUGUUUUGAGAUGUUAGGUUAACUCCUUUAACGGGCGCAACCCCUUAACUUAUUCGUAAGUUUACUGCUUAGGAAAUCUAAGAGGAAGGCAGGGAUGAUGUCAAGUCGUUAUGACCUUUAUGGGCUGGGCUACUCACGUGCUACAAUGGUGCGUACAAAGGGAAGCAAAAAUGUAAAUUUUAGCAAUGCCCAAAAAACGUAUCUCAGUUCAGAUUGUACCCUGAAAAUUGGGUACAUGAAGUUGGAAUCGCUAGUAAUCGUAUAUCAGAAUGGUACGGUGAAUAUCCCCUCAGCCCUAGUACACACCGCCCGUCACGCGCUGGAAAUUAGUUUUGGUUGACAUAAGUAGAGGAUUAUAAUUCUUGAAUCUACUUCAUUAGUUUCUAUUACUAGCGGGUAUUAAUAGAUUAAAAUUACUGCUUAUAACAUUAAAGCUAAGGACUGGUGCGAAGUCGUAACAGGGUAGUCGUAGGGGAACCUGCGGCUGGACCAAUUUUUUU